rnacentral:rRNA from 1 species
UUAAAAAAAGAGGGGAAGCAGAACCAAGUCAAGAUGAUAUGGGUCGCCCCUUCUUCUUGCGCCAAAGAUCUUACCAUUUCCGAAGGAACUGGGGCUACAUUUCUUUUCAAUUUCCAUUCAAGAGUUUCUAUCUGUUUCCAUGCCCUUUUCUUGAGACCUUGA